CACUCCUGCGGGAGGCAGCAGUGGGGAAUAUUGGACAAUGGGCGCAAGCCUGAUCCAGCCAUGCCGCGUGAGUGAUGAAGGCCCUAGGGUUGUAAAGCUCUUUCACCGGUGAAGAUAAUGACGGUAACCGGAGAAGAAGCCCCGGCUAACUUCGUGCCAGCAGCCGCGGUAAUACGAAGGGGGCUAGCGUUGUUCGGAUUUACUGGGCGUAAAGCGCACGUAGGCGGACUAUUAAGUCAGGGGUGAAAUCCCGGGGCUCAACCCCGGAACUGACUUUGAUACUGGUAGUCUUGAGUUCGAGAGAGGUGAGUGGAAUUCCGAGUGUAGAGGUGAAAUUCGUAGAUAUUCGGAGGAACACCAGUGGCGAAGGCGGCUCACUGGCUCGAUACUGACGCUGAGGUGCGAAAGCGUGGGGAGCAAACAGGAUUAGAUACCCCAGUAGUCCCAUGA
rnacentral:rRNA from 1 species